GUGUGAACUGGAUGCUUUUUAUGUGGAGGAGGGGAUCUUGUGUCAGAUGAUGAAAAGUGACAGAGACAGAGGCAGAAACAGAUGUCUUGCUAUAGAGGAAGGGGCAUUGGAGGAGGUGAUCUUCUAUCAGAUGAUAAGAGGUUAUAAUGUGACAGAGAGAAAUGUGUGUGUGUGUAUGACUAUUUAAAAGACUCUAGAAUUCAUGUGUAUAUUUGAAGGUUAGGCUGUGUAUGUUGACCAAAUUGUCUUAUGGUCCUGAGUUUGAUUUUUAUGUUGCUCCAGUCUACUUAGCUAAAAAUCAGUACUUGCUGACUACCUGUGCAGCUCUAUCUCUCAUCAGCUGUUACAUUCUGGACAAUCUACUGCUUCAAGGGAUUAACAAAAGCAUUGUAUGUUGUUGUCAAGUCAUACUUUGCAAGUGAGGACUAUGCUUUUUUGUAAGUCUAUAUGCUUCUAGAGGCAAGUGUUAUUCACUGAGUAUAAAAGCAUUAAGAAAAUAGAUUCAACCUUCACUUAACAACUCAGAUUUCAUUAUUUUUUUCCUGUUUCUACUUCAAAAUAAAUGAUAUUUCAAAUUGAACCAUAUCCUAUGCAGUGUUCCCUCUAAGUUUGAUGCUUGUGCAUAUGCAUGUCUGUUUUACAUGUAGAAA